GGAUGAACGCUAGCGGCAGGCCUAACACAUGCAAGUCGAACGGUAACAGAUCUAGCUUGCUAGAUGCUGACGAGUGGCGCACGGGUGAGUAACGCGUAUACAAUCUACCUUUAACUGAGGAAUAGCCCAGAGAAAUUUGGAUUAAUACCUCAUAGUAUUAUAUUAAGGCAUCUUUUUAUAAUUAAAACUUCGGUGGUUAAAGAUGAGUAUGCGUCCUAUUAGUUUGUUGGUAAGGUAAAAGCUUACCAAGACUACGAUAGGUAGGGGGCCUGAAAGGGUGAUCCCCCACACUGGUACUGAGACACGGACCAGACUCCUACGGGAGGCAGCAGUGAGGAAUAUUGCACAAUGGAGGAAACUCUGAUGCAGCCAUGCCGCGUGCAGGAUGAAUGCCCUAUGGGUUGUAAACUGCUUUUAUACAAGAAGAAACCUCGGUACGUGUACCGACUUGACGGUAUUGUAUGAAUAAGCACCGGCUAACUCCGUGCCAGCAGCCGCGGUAAUACGGAGGGUGCAAGCGUUAUCCGGAUUUAUUAGGUUUAAAGGGUCCGCAGGCGGAAUAUUAAGUCAGUGGUGAAAGCCUACAGCUCAACUGUAGAACUGCCAUUGAAACUGUUAUUCUUGAGUAUGGAUGAAGUGGGCGGAAUAUGUCAUGUAGCGGUGAAAUGCAUAGAUAUGACAUGGAACACCAAUUGCGAAGGCAGCUCACUAAACCAUUACUGACGCUCAUGGACGAAAGCGUGGGGAGCGAACAGGAUUAGAUACCCUGGUAGUCCACGCCGUAAACUAUGAUCACUAGAUGUUGGCGAUAUAAUGUCAGCGUUUAAGAGAAAUCGAUAAGUGAUCCACCUGGGGAGUACGUUCGCAAGAAUGAAACUCAAAGGAAUUGACGGGGGCCCGCACAAGCGGAGGAGCAUGUGGUUUAAUUCGAUGAUACGCGAGGAACCUUACCAAGGCUUAAAUGUAAUAUGACCGGUUGAGAGAUCAACCUUUUUUCGAACAGAUUACAAGGUGCUGCAUGGUUGUCGUCAGCUCGUGCCGUGAGGUGUCGGGUUAAGUCCCAUAACGAGCGCAACCCCUAUUUUUAGUUACCAGCGAGUAAUGUCGGGAACUCUAGAAAAACUGCCUGUGCAAACAGAGAGGAAGGUGGGGAUGACGUCAAAUCAUCACGGCCCUUAUGUCUUGGGCUACACACGUGCUACAAUGGUUACUACAAUGUGAUGCCAUCUGGUGACAGAGAGCUAAUCAAUAAAGGUAAUCUCAGUUCGGAUCGGAGUCUGCAACUCGACUCUGUGAAGUUGGAUUCGCUAGUAAUCGUAUAUCAGCAAUGAUACGGUGAAUACGUUCCCGGGCCUUGUACUCACCGCCC
rnacentral:rRNA from 1 species